GACGAACGCUGGCGGCGUGCCUAAUACAUGCAAGUUGAGCGAUGAAGAUUGGUGCUUGCACCAAUUUGAAGAGCAGCGAACGGGUGAGUAACGCGUGGGGAAUCUGCCUUUGAGCGGGGGACAACAUUUGGAAACGAAUGCUAAUACCGCAUAAUAACUUUAAACAUAAGUUUUAAGUUUGAAAGAUGCAAUUGCAUCACUCAAAGAUGAUCCCGCGUUGUAUUAGCUAGUUGGUGAGGUAAAGGCUCACCAAGGCGAUGAUACAUAGCCGACCUGAGAGGGUGAUCGGCCACAUUGGGACUGAGACACGGCCCAAACUCCUACGGGAGGCAGCAGUAGGGAAUCUUCGGCAAUGGACGAAAGUCUGACCGAGCAACGCCGCGUGAGUGAAGAAGGUUUUCGGAUCGUAAAACUCUGUUGGUAGAGAAGAACGUUGGUGAGAGUGAAAAGCUCAUCAAGUGACGGUAACUACCCAGAAAGGGACGGCUAACUACGUG
rnacentral:rRNA from 1 species